rnacentral:tRNA from 1 species
GGGGCUGGGGCUCAGGGGCAGAGCGCUCGCCUGGCAUGCGGGAGGCACUGGGUUUGAUCCUCAGCACCACCU